GCUAGUGUAAAUGAUGACUAAACUUUUUUACCCAUCAGAGCGACAGUGUUGACUAUUGCUGCUCUAAGCCAGAUUUUUUUUCUGAUGCACUAGC
rnacentral:snoRNA from 1 species